rnacentral:lncRNA from 1 species
UUGCUCCAGGUCCACAGCCAUGAGCAGAGCCAUGACAGGGGCCGCUGCUGUCCAUGAGAAGCACAGAACUUCUGGCUGGGGGUUGCCUCUUCCCUUCCAGGCUUUGGAGUCCAGAACCUGCUAACAGUUGAAAGAGCCACGUUGCAAGUAACUGUGCGGACUUAUCCUGACCUUAUGCAACAGAUUCUACCGUGAAUAUGGAAUAAUGUGGAGUCACUCAGCAAAUGCGCCCUGAAGGCCCACUGGGCAUUGGAGAAGCAAAGGGGGUGAUGCAGCAAGAAGGCCCUCACCAGAUGUCAGUCCUUUGAUCUUGGACUUCCCAGCCUCCAGAAUCAUGAGCCAAUAAAUUUUUGUUCAUUACAAAUUAC